rnacentral:rRNA from 1 species
CCUACGGGGGGCAGCAGUGAGGAAUAUUGGUCAAUGGACGAGAGUCUGAACCAGCCAAGUAGCGUGAAGGAUGACUGCCCUAUGGGUUGUAAACUUCUUUUAUCUGGGAAUAAAAUGUUCCACGUGUGGGAUUUUGUAUGUACCAUAUGAAUAAGGAUCGGCUAACUCCGUGCCAGCAGCCGCGGUAAUACGGAGGAUCCGAGCGUUAUCCGGAUUUAUUGGGUUUAAAGGGAGCGUAGGUGGAUUGUUAAGUCAGUUGUGAAAGUUUGCGGCUCAACCGUAAAAGUGCAGUUGAAACUGGCAGUCUUGAGUACAGUAGAGGUGGGCGGAAUUCGUGGUGUAGCGGUGAAAUGCUUAGAUAUCACGAAGAACUCCGAUUGCGAAGGCAGUUCACUGGACUGCAACUGACACUGAGGCUCGAAAGUGUGGGUAUCAAACAGGAUUAGAUACCCCAGUAGUC